AACGCGAAGAACCUUACCUGGGCUCGAAAUGUAGAGGACGAUGCAAGAGAUUGCAUUUCCCGAAAGGGUCUCUAUAUAGGUGCUGCAUGGCUGUCGUCAGCUCGUGCCGUGAGGUGUUUGGUUAAGUCCAGCAACGAGCGCAACCCUUAUCGUUAGUUGCCAGCGCGUAAAGGCGGGAACUCUAACGAGACUGCCUAGGUUAACUAGGAGGAAGGUGAGGAUGACGUCAAGUCCGCAUGGCCUUUAUGUCCAGGGCUACACACGUGCUACAAUGGUCGGUACAGAAGGCAGCGAAGCCGCGAGGUGGAGCAAAUCCUAUAAAACCGAUCUCAGUUCAGAUUGCAUUCUGCAACUCGGAUGCAUGAAGUUGGAAUUGCUAGUAAUGGCGUGUCAGCAACAACGCCGUGAAUACGUUCCCGGGCCUUGUA
rnacentral:rRNA from 1 species